rnacentral:lncRNA from 1 species
CUAGUCACCUGUUCGUCUCUUUUCAACUCAGCUACAGAAUCUACAACCGACCCGAAAAUGUCCUGUAUUUGCCAAUGUUAUACGAAUGGCGUAGACAGCGGCAUGGCUCAAGUGGGCUUUCCUUUGAAAGCUGAUAAAGAAAGCCCAUCCGAGAACGUCGUAAAAGAGUGAGUUUUGCUUUGAUGUCCAUCUAAGUUGUAUCCAUUUGAUAUCCCUUAGUGCGGAAAAGGAAACUUCUGAGAUGACUCUACCUGCCUCUGACUUAGCCGACUGUCGUGCAGAGAAUUGGCUCCUCAAGAAAAAACUGAUGGACUUUGAAAUCACUAUUGAGAAUCUACAACAGCUGGUGAAUAUGAUAGUGGAGAAGCAGCAUCGCAGACUGAGUGUCAUCUUCAGCGAGAGUACCACUCAAUGGAAAGAAAUGCGUUGAUGAAGCAGCUACAUGAUAUUCACCCUUUGUCCAGAAAUCGAAGCUUGGAAUUGGUAAAUUAUCGGUUCCAAUUAGAUCAGAUAAUUAAUUAUUUCAAAUCACUUUGAAUAGGGGAGUGGAUUUAUCGAAAAUGAUGCUAACCGUAGCCCUGAGGUUCACAAGGAAGCUGAAUUAUCCGCUGAAGAGCAGGAUGAAACUGAUGAUGAGCGUGAGAGUGAUAUUGAGUAGGACAGCUAUGGCGAUCAGGACUCUUAUACCGACGACGCAGACUGCGAUGCCCUUUCGACAACUUCACCCAAAACUUCACGAUGCAGUUCACCCUCUUCAAAGGGCUCAGAAUCGGAAGACACGGAUUCACAGACGGCCAAAAAUCCAGAUUGUGAAAACGAUAACGAUAGCGAUACUGAUAGUGACCAAGAAAGCGAUGGCGAUUGCGAUACUGGCUGAUGCAACGUUGAUAAAACACCAACUAUGUUAUAUUUACAACAAUGCGGCGUAUUAACCGCAUAUUUAAGAUCCGAAGGCGCUUUUUGUCUUCAUCUUCCAGAACGUCCAACAAUUUAUUAAACGCAUUUAAUAAUCAGCACAAAAACGUGACAAUGGC